GGGGCUGUAUUUGGUUUCGACAGAUUAUUGGAAGAAAGAAUUGCAAGUAGUUAAUGUAUUCUGGGAACUUAAAAAAUGAAUACAAAUAAAGUAAACGCUAACGAAGAAUUAGUAGCUGCCUAAUUGAUUAGGCUCGUCUACUCGAGAAGUCUACUGGCUUGAGAUAGGCGUCAUUAAAGUAGAUGCGUGGUGGCAGAGAAGUAACCUUGGUAUCGCUCACAAAGAUUUAAAAAGGUACGAUAUUAUAACUUUUGUUUGUUGUAGUUAUUAUAUCUAAGACGAACAAUAAAAUAAACUUGUAGAUAUUAGUUUGGAAAGUAAUUUGGACAGGGGUUCGACUCCCCUCAGCUCCACCA
rnacentral:tmRNA from 1 species